CCUACGGGAGGCAGCAGUAAGGAAUAUUGGUCAAUGGACGAAAGUCUGAACCAGCCAUGCCGCGUGGAGGAAUAAGGUCCUACGGAUUGUAAACUCCUUUUGACGAGGAAGAAAGUGUUAGAUUUAUCUAAUUUUGACGGUACUCGUAGAAUAAGCACCGGCUAACUCCGUGCCAGCAGCCGCGGUAAU
rnacentral:rRNA from 1 species